rnacentral:rRNA from 1 species
ACGAACGCUGGCGGCGUGCUUUAUACAUGCAAGUCGAACGAGGACCGGGUGCUUGCACCCGGAGCCGAGUGGCGAACGGGUGAGUAACACGUGACCAAUCUGCCCUUGGGAGAGGGACAACCUGGGGAAACCCGGGCUAAUACCGCAUGAUGUGCAGCCAUCGCAUGUUGGCUGCACCAAAGGGGGCCUCUACUUGUAAGCUCUCGCCCAGGGAGGAGGUCGCGGCGUAUCAGCUUGUUGGUGGGGUAACGGCCUACCAAGGCGACGACGCGUAGCGGGUCUGAGAGGACGAUCCGUCACAUUGGGACUGAGAUACGGCCCAGACUCCUACGGGAGGCAGCAGAAGGGAAUAUUGCGCAAUGGUCGAAAGACUGACGCAGCGACGCCGCGUGUGGGAGGAAGCCUUUCGGGGUGUAAACCACUGUCAGGUGGGAAGAAUCGCGCUCGUCCAAACAGGGCGGGCGCCUGACGGUACCAUCAGAGGAAGCGCCGGCUAACUCCGUGCCAGCAGCCGCGGUAAGACGGAGGGCGCAAGCGUUGUUCGGAAUUACUGGGCGUAAAGCGCGGGCAGGUGGUUCGUUAAGUCUUUUGUGAAACUCCGGGGCUCAACUCCGGACAUGCAGAUGAUACUGGCGGACUA